rnacentral:rRNA from 2 species
GUCGAACGGCAGCGCGGGAGCAAUCCUGGCGGCGAGUGGCGAACGGGUGAGUAAUACAUCGGAACGUGCCCAAUCGUGGGGGAUAACGCAGCGAAAGCUGUGCUAAUACCGCAUACGAUCUACGGAUGAAAGCAGGGGAUCGCAAGACCUUGCGCGAAUGGAGCGGCCGAUGGCAGAUUAGGUAGUUGGUGAGGUAAAGGCUCACCAAGCCUUCGAUCUGUAGCUGGUCUGAGAGGACGACCAGCCACACUGGGACUGAGACACGGCCCAGACUCCUACGGGAGGCAGCAGUGGGGAAUUUUGGACAAUGGGCGAAAGCCUGAUCCAGCCAUGCCGCGUGCAGGAUGAAGGCCUUCGGGUUGUAAACUGCUUUUGUACGGAACGAAACGGCUCUUUCUAAUAAAGAGGGCUAAUGACGGUACCGUAAGAAUAAGCACCGGCUAACUACGUGCCAGCAGCCGCGGUAAUACGUAGGGUGCAAGCGUUAAUCGGAAUUACUGGGCGUAAAGCGUGCGCAGGCGGUAAUGUAAGACAGUUGUGAAAUCCCCGGGCUCAACCUGGGAACUGCAUCUGUGACUGCAUUGCUGGAGUACGGCAGAGGGGGAUGGAAUUCCGCGUGUAGCAGUGAAAUGCGUAGAUAUGCGGAGGAACACCGAUGGCGAAGGCAAUCCCCUGGGCCUGUACUGACGCUCAUGCACGAA